UACGGGGGGGGCAAGCGUUGUUCGGAAUUACUGGGCGUAAAGGGCUCGUAGGUGGCCAACUAAGUCAGACGUGAAAUCCCUCAGCUUAACUGGGGAACUGCGUCUGAUACUGGAUGGCUUGAGUUUGGGAGAGGGAUGCGGAAUUCCAGGUGUAGCGGUGAAAUGCGUAGAUAUCUGGAGGAACACCGGUGGCGAAGGCGGCAUCCUGGACCAACACUGACACUGAGGAGCGAAGGCCAGGGGAGCAAACGGG
rnacentral:rRNA from 1 species